UACGUAGGGUGCAAGCGUUGUCCGGAAUUAUUGGGCGUAAAGGGCUCGUAGGCGGUCCAUCGCGUCGGGAGUGAAAAGCUGGGGCUCAACCCCAGUCCUGCUUCCGAUACGGGUGGACUAGAGGUAUGCAGGGGAGAACGGAAUUCCUGGUGUAGCGGUGAAAUGCGCAGAUAUCAGGAGGAACACCGGUGGCGAAGGCGGUUCUCUGGGCCUUACCUGACGCUGAGGAGCGAAAGCGUGGGGAGCGAACAGG
rnacentral:rRNA from 1 species